rnacentral:tRNA from 1 species
AGCAGUGUGGCCUAGUGGAAAGAGCAUGUGUCUGGGAAUCAGUGGACCUGGGUUCUAAUCCCAGCUCUGCCA